GGUGGGUAGAGCGUCUACUGCCCGUUAUACAGACAGUUUUGCUUUGCGUGUAUGCUUGGGUUGGAGGACGGUGUGAGAUUGGGAGCUCUGUGGCGCUCUGUCCGAUGUCGAUCGGGCGUCCGCGCUAAGCUCGGCGUCAAUAUGGGCAUUCCAGGGGAGCCCGGAGUGGCCAGGUUGUCCAAGGAGGAACGCACCGGGCGAGGCCCGAAAGGGAGCAGCCAAAAGUUCCCACGUUGAUCAGUAGCGGGAUAGCGCCUGUGAAUAGGCGGAGCGUUGCAGCCCAGUCAAUAUCGCGGAACCCAAUCCUUU
rfam:Ciona savignyi cont_37627, whole genome shotgun sequence.